rnacentral:misc_RNA from 1 species
UAAUGGGCUUGCUUCUCAUGGUG